rnacentral:sRNA from 1 species
AUUUAUAUUUAUUAAUAACACACACAUACUUCAACGUUGUCCGGGGUGCCAAUAUUUUUGGUCGGAUUCAGCGGGUAUGUGGAGGCUCAAC